rnacentral:misc_RNA from 1 species
UCUCCGUUGGUGAACCAGCGGAGGGAUCAUUACCGAGUUUACAACUCCCAAACCCAAUGUGAACCAUACCAAACUGUUGCCUCGGCGGGGUCACGCCCCGGGUGCGUCGCAGCCCCGGAACCAGGCGCCCGCCGGAGGGACCAACCAACCUCUUUCUGUAGUCCCCUCGCGGACGUUAUUUCUUACAGCUCUGAGCAAAAAUUCAAAAUGAAUCAAAACUUUCAACAACGGAUCUCUUGGUUCUG